GGUCAAGCUAUAAAGGGCUAACGGUGGAUACCUAGGUACACAGAGGCGAUGAAGGACGUAGUUACCGACGAUACGCUCCGGGGAGCUGGAAGCAAGCAUUGAGCCGGAGGUUUCCGAAUAGGGCAACCUUAUAUACGGUCACCUGAAUCUAUAGGGUGACGCGAGCCAACCGGGCGAACUGAAACAUCUUAGUAGCCCGAGGAAAAGAAAGCAAAAGCGAUUCCCCCAGUAGCGGCGAGCGAAAAGGGAACAGCCUAAACCUAAAACUGCGGUUUUAGGGGUUGUGGGACAGCAACAUGGACUGUAGCGGUUAGACGAAGCAGCUGAAUACUGCACCAAAGGAGGUGAAAGUCCUGUAGUCGAAAACUUAAACAGCCUAGCUGAAUCCCGAGUAGCACGGGGCACGUGGAAUCCCGUGUGAAUCAGCGAAGACCACUUCGUAAGGCUAAAUACUCCUGUGUAACCGAUAGUGAAACAGUACCGCGAGGGAAAGGUGAAAAGAACCCCAGUAAGGGGAGUGAAAUAGAACAUGAAACCGUUAGCCUACAAGCAAUGGAAGGACGAUUUAACGUCUGACCGUGUGCCUGUUGAAGAAUGAGCCGGCGACUAACAGGCUGUGGCAGGUUAAGAGCGAAAACUCGAAGCCAAAGUGAAAGCGAGUCCGAACAGGGCGAUAGUCACAGUUUGUUGACCCGAACCCGGGUGAUCUAACCAUGGCCAGGAUGAAGCUUGGGUAAAACCAAGUGGAGGUCCGAACCGACCAAUGUUGAAAAAUUGGCGGAUGAGCUGUGGUUAGGGGUGAAAUGCCAAUCGAACCCGGAGCUAGCUGGUUCUCCCCGAAAUGCGUUUAGGCGCAGCGGUUGUGUACCUUAUAGAGGGGUAAAGCACUAUUUCGCUGCGGGCUGCGAGAGCGGUACCAAAGCGAGAUAAACUCAGAAUACUCUAUAAGCAUCAGCCAGUAAGACGGUGGGGGAUAAGCUUCAUCGUCGAAAGGGAAACAGCCCAGACCACCAGCUAAGGUCCCCAAAUGAACACUAAGUGAGAAAGGAGGUGGGAGUGCAUAGACAACCAGGAGGUUUGCCUAGAAGCAGCAACCCUUAAAAGAGUGCGUAAUAGCUCACUGGUCAAGCGCUCCUGCGCCGAAAAUGAACGGGGCUAAGUGUUCUACCGAAGCUGUGGACAGGAAACUGUGGUAGGGGAGCGUUCUGUAUAGGGUGAAGCACUAGCGGCAAGCAGGUGUGGACAGUACAGAAGUGAGAAUGUCGGCUUAAGUAGCGAAAACAUUGGUGAGAAUCCAAUGCCCCGAAACCCUAAGGGUUCCUCCGGAAGGCUCGUCCGCGGAGGGUUAGUCAGGACCUAAGGCGAGGCCGAAAGGCGUAGUCGAUGGACAACGGGUUAACAUUCCCGUACUGAUUAGUAAUUGUGGCGGGGGACGGAGAAGGCAAUCGUCAGCCGGAUGUUGGUUACCGGUGCAAGCGUACGAGGUGUUGAGGAACGGAGAAAACGUUCUGAGCUAAGUCGUGAGUCCGACUCUCUACGGAGAGGAAGUGAUAGAUGUCAUGCUUCCCAGAAAAGCCCGAACCACGUUAAUUACUAAUUACCUGUACCCGAAACCGACACAGGUGGGGAGGUAGAGAAUACCGAGGGGCGCGAGAUAACUCUCUCUAAGGAACUCGGCAAAAUGACCCCGUAACUUCGGGAGAAGGGGUGCCUGCAGCAAUGCAGGUCGCAGUGAAGAGGCCCAGGCGACUGUUUACCAAAAACACAGGUCUCCGCCAAGUCGCAAGACGCAGUAUGGGGGCUGACGCCUGCCCAGUGCCGGAAGGUUAAGGAAGUUGGUUAGCGUAAGCGAAGCUGGCGACCGAAGCCCCGGUGAACGGCGGCCGUAACUAUAACGGUCCUAAGGUAGCGAAAUUCCUUGUCGGGUAAGUUCCGACCCGCACGAAAGGCGUAACGAUCUGGGCACUGUCUCGGAGAGAGACUCGGCGAAAUAGGAUUGUCUGUGAAGAUACGGACUACCUGCACCUGGACAGAAAGACCCUAUGAAGCUUUACUGUAGCCUGGAAUUGGCUUCGGGCUUCGCUUGCGCAGGAUAGGUGGGAGGCGUUGAAGUAUUCCUUGUGGGGGAUACAGAGCCAACGGUGAGAUACCACUCUGGCGAGGCUAGAAUUCUAACCCCGACCCAUCACUGGGGGGGGAACAGUUUCAGGUGGGCAGUUUGACUGGGGCGGUCGCCUCCUAAAAGAUAACGGAGGCGCGCAAAGGUUCCCUCAGGCUGGUUGGAAAUCAGCCGUAGAGUGCAAAGGCAGAAGGGAGCUUGACUGCGAGACCUACAAGUCGAGCAGGGUGGAAACACGGCCUUAGUGAUCCGACGGCACCGCGUGGAAGGGCCGUCGCUCAACGGAUAAAAGUUACUCUAGGGAUAACAGGCUGAUCUCCCCCAAGAGUUCACAUCGACGGGGAGGUUUGGCACCUCGAUGUCGGCUCAUCGCAACCUGGGGCGGAAGUACGUCCCAAGGGUUGGGCUGUUCGCCCAUUAAAGCGGUACGUGAGCUGGGUUCAGAACGUCGUGAGACAGUUCGGUCCAUAUCCGGUGUAGGCGCAAGAGCAUUGAGAGGAGCCUUCCUUAGUACGAGAGGACCGGGAAGGACGCACCUCUGGUGUACCUGUUAUCGUGCCAACGGUAGACGCAGGGUAGCCAAGUGCGGAGCGGAUAACCGCUGAAAGCAUCUAAGUGGGAAGCCCACCUCAAGAUGAGUGCUCUCACAGGGUUAACCUGGUAAGGUCACGGGAAGACUACCCGUUAAUAGGCACUAGGUGGAACUCCAGCAAUGGCUGAAGCCAAGGUGUACUAACAGACCGAGGGCUUGACCUC
rfam:Cyanothece sp. PCC 8801, complete genome.